GUAAGAACCGCACGUGCGAGUUCCCCCGCAUACGGCUCAAGUGGCGAAGGCCCUUUCCUUCGCGCUUGGUAAGCGCUUCGCUUUAGCCAAGCUUACUGCUAGCCUAUCGGCGUCAGCCAAGCUUCGACCGCGACUGCUCGUCGCUUCUGGCCGCCUUAUUCCGUCACCCGAGAUCCAAGUCAGCACCGGCAAAGAUCUCUUUCUU
rnacentral:misc_RNA from 1 species